rnacentral:rRNA from 1 species
GCCAGAGGAAACUCUGGUGGAGGCUCGUAGCGAUACUGACGUGCAAAUCGUUCGUCGAACUUGGGUAUAGGGGCGAAAGACUAAUCGAACCAUCUAGUAGCUGGUUCCCUCCGAAGUUUCCCACAGGAUAGCUUGAGCGCACACAGUACGGUUUUGUCAGGUAAAGCGAAUGAUUAGAGGCCUUGGGGCUGAAACAGCCUUAACCUAUUCUCAAACUUUAAAUGGGCAAGAGGCGCGGGAUGCUUGAUUGAUCCCGCGCGGCGAACGGCGCGCUCCAAGUGGGCCAUUUUUGGUAAGCAGAACUGGCGAUGCGGGAUGAACCGGAAGCCGGGUUACGGUGCCCAACUGCGCGCUAACCUAGAACCCACAAAGGGUGUUGGUCGAUUAAGACAGCAGGACGGUGGUCAUGGAAGUCGAAAUCCGCUAAGGAGUGUGUAACAACUCACCUGCCGAAUCAACUAGCCCCGAAAAUGGAUGGCGCUGAAGCGCGCGACCCACACCCGGCCAUCUGGGCGAGCGCCAUGCCCCGAUGAGUAGGAGGGCGUGGCGG